GCCGCUGUAGCUUAGACGUAUAAAGCGCCGCGCUACGAACGCGGAGAUCGGGGGUUAGAGUCCCUCCAGCGGUUCCA
rnacentral:tRNA from 1 species